GCAAAGUGCGGUACGAAUUAAGCUACCCUGGUUGCGUACAGAGAACUGCCAACAUUUUCUUUUUCGGUGCUUUUAUCUUCAGAAGGGCAGAAUUGGCCCUAACCAUGUGUAUUUUAUUUACAUCUCAUACAUAAAUGGACAAAAACUGUUAACCAGAACUAAGGCUUAUAACAUUUUCCCACCACAAAUUUGGCAAUAUAUACAGAGAUUGUAACUGCCCAUAGGUCUGUUUUGCUUUGCAAGCUAGCUUGAUGGACAAAGUUCUAUUUUUAAGCUAACACUUUAUUUUCACUUGUCAAUCCAGUUCUGGCCUUGGAAUAAUAAAGUUGAAGUGUUUUUGUAGUGUUCCAAAUAGAACUAUCAAGAAAAUAAUUGUGACUAUUAAAAAUCAUCUUGGGCCUUCAGUUCCAAGAUAGUAAUUUCAUUAAUUAAUGUUACCAACUUGUUUUUCAUCACAGAAACAUUUGGUUUGGUUGCUUGGCCAUCCAUUAAUUAUUGGGAAAUAGAAAUGGUUUGUGCUUGGGGCAAGUUAUCUUUCGGAAGGAGACCUUUCUAUGAGUGAUCUGGAAAAUGGAAGUGAAUGCCUGUGAUACUCCCGGAGUCUUGCAGAAGAAGCCCUGUCUCACUGAAGUCUGAGUAUGGCCCUCCACUCUGGGUAGAGGCAUAUGACUAAGGAUGCACUGCAGCGGACUCUGCCAGAAGCCUUCCCAAUAGACAUUCUUCCCCUCCCACCUUGCUGAGUGAAGCGGAGAACUGAGGAAAUUGCCUGACUUCCUGAAUCCUUCACAAGAACUAUGCAUAUAAUUGAGUCACAAAUGAUUUUUAG